UGUGUUCUGCCUCACUGAGUGUGCUUAUAAACACAAUAGAGGCAGCUGAUGAGAAAUGGUCUAGAUAGUGGGAUGCUAGCCGUAGUGGAGCAUGCAAAGACAUGCAGCUAUGUAUUAUGACGCUAAGAGUUAAGGGCUGGUGUAGGUAAGGUAUUUAUUAUGGCACUGAGAGUUAAGGGCUGGUGUAGGUAAGGUAUUUAUUAUGGCACUGAGAGUUAAGGGCUGGUGUAUGUAAGGUAUGUAUUAUGGCACUGAGAGUUAAGGGCUGGUGUAGGUAAGGUAUUUAUUAUGGCACUGAGAGUUAAGGGCUGGUGUAGGUAAGGUAUUUAUUAUGGCACUGAGAGUUAAGGGCUGGUGUAUGUAAGGUAUGUAUUAUGGCACUGAGAGUUAAGGGCUGGUGUAGGUAAGGUAUGUAUUAUGACACUGAGAGUUAAGGGCUGGUGUAGGUAAGGUAUUUAUUAUGGCACUGAGAGUUAAGGGCUGGUGUAUGUAAGGUAUGUAUUAUGGCACUGAGAGUUAAGGGCUGGUGUAGGUAAGGUAUUUAUUAUGGCACUGAGAUUUAAGGGCUGGUGUAGGUAAGGUAUUUAUUAUGGCACUGAGAGUUAAGGGCUGGUGUAGGUAAG